UUAUUAAUAGUUAAAGAAUAUAACGCUAAACUGCAAUUUUAGAAUUGAUUAACUUCUCCCCA
rnacentral:tRNA from 1 species